AUGGAAGUGACAGACGACAAUAAAGAGCUUUCAUACAAGAUAAACUGUUUGUUUAUUUCAACGCUUCAAUGUCGUUCACUUUCUUCAGAUCUGGUUUCUGAUUCUUCUGCUUCAUGUAAACGUGAUCCACUUCAACUGCUUUCACUUCUACCUUCAACUGUGUUCAGAGAGAAUCUCCAACUAGAUACGGCUGUUUUAAAAACAGUACACACACACACACUCACACACACACUCUCACACACACACACCCACUCUCUCACACACACACACACUCUAACCCUGCCUGAAGGAGACAAAAACGUCUCAGGGAACGAGAGAGCGUCUGCUUUACGCUUCAGGGAACGAGAGAGCGUCUGCUUUACGGCUCAAGGAACGAGAGAGCGUCUACUUUACGCCUCAGGGAACAAGAGAGCGUCUGCUUUACGCUUCAGGGAACGAGAGAGCGUCUGCUUUACGCCUCAGGGAACGAGAGAGCGUCUGCUUUACGCCUCAGGGAAGGAGAGAGCGUCUGCUUUACGCCUCAGGGAACGAGAGAGCGUCUGCUUUACGCUUCAGGGAACGAGAGAGCGUCUGCUUUACGCUUCAGGGAAGGAGAGAGCGUCUGCUUUACGCUUCAGGGAAGGAGAGAGCGUCUGCUUUACGCUUCAGGGAACGAGAGAGCGUCUGCUUUACGUCGUAGGGAACGAGAGAGCGUCUGCUUUACGCUUCAGGGAACGAGAGAGCGUCUGCUUUACGCUUCAGGGAACGAGAGAGCGUCUGCUUUACGCUUCAGGGAAGGAGAGAGCGUCUGCUUUACACUUCAGGGAACGAGAGAGCGUCUGCUUUACGCUUCAGGGAAGGAGAGAGCGUCUGCUUUACGCUUCAGGGAACGAGAGAGCGUCUGCUUUACGUCGUAGGGAACGAGAGAGCGUCUGCUUUACGCUUCAGGGAACAAGAGCGUCUGCUUUACGCUUCAGGGAAGGAGAGAGCGUCUGCUUUACGCUUCAGGGAAGGAGAGAGCGUCUGCUUUACGCUUCAGGGAACGAGAGAGCGUCUGCUUUACGCUUCAGGGAACGAGAGAGCGUCUGCUUUACGCUUCAGGGAAGGAGAGAGCGUCUGCUUUACGCUUCAGGGAAGGAGAGAGCGUCUGCUUUACGCUUCAGGGAACGAGAGAGCGUCUGCUUUACGCUUCAGGGAAGGAGAGAGCGUCUGCUUUACGCUUCAGGGAAGGAGAGAGCGUCUGCUUUACGCUUCAGGGAACGAGAGAGCGUCUGCUUUACGCUUCAGGGAAGGAGAGAGCGUCUGCUUUACGCUUCAGGGAAGGAGAGAGCGUCUGCUUUACGCUUCAGGGAACGAGAGAGCGUCUGCUUUACGCUUCAGGGAACGAGAGAGCGUCUGCUUUACGCUUCAGGGAACGAGAGAGCGUCUGCUUUACGCUUCAGGGAAGGAGAGAGCGUCUGCUUUACGCUUCAGGGAACGAGAGAGCGUCUGCUUUACGCUUCAGGGAACGAGAGAGCGUCUGCGUUACGCAUGUCGACUUUUCUUAAGAAGGCACUCAACGUCACGCCAUCCGUUUGUUCUUCAUUAAAACACAUCAGAUGUUUCACUGCAGGAAAAACUGCAAAAAUAUAG
rnacentral:lncRNA from 1 species